GUGCUUGCUUCAGCAUCACAUAUGCUAAAAUUAAAACGAUACAGGGAUUAUUAUCAUGGCCCCUGCACAAAGAGGACACGGAAUUUCGUGAAGCAUUCCAUAUUUAU